GCCACCAACAACUAAAUAAAUAAAAACUUGUCAUUUUCCCUCAUUAACAAUGAAUCUCUGGUACACUUUGUUGCCACUAUUUUUGCAACAAGUCGUUGCGGAAGACCAGAUCUACAAUCGCGUUGUUCUAAUCGUCGACGAAGGAAUCAGUGAUCCAAUUGAGCGAUUCAUAGGGACAGGAAAUGUGUUAAAUGAGAGAUGGGUUCUGGCACUGGACCAAAUCAUCAAUCCUCAAGCAGACUUGGUGGUAAUUACAGGACAUGAAGUUUCCAUUGACAUUGCCAAGAAUAAGAACAAGUACCGUGUGAUAGACGUGUGGAACCAAAUAGACGAGGCUAAACCUGAACAAGCUCUGACUUUAUUAGAAACCUUGGUUGAUAUAAAAUUUAAUGAUUUAUCGAUUGGUGGGACCAUGUUUUACCAUUUCACUCCUAAAGCUCAGCUCUCCAACUGUGAACUAGUGACUUGGAAUUUAGACUUGAGAAAAAAGAAAUGGAAACAAAACCGAAUCCCUGUCAAUCUUGUAGACAAUCCGACCACUUGUAAAACCGACACUGACCAACAAUCUUGUGUCACUGCUUUGAAUACGAAAAAUUUAUUAAAUUCGUGUGCCGAUCUGGGGGCCCCUCUCGUAUGUAAUGUAUCCUUGGAAGGAAUAAAUCUUGCGGAAGAAGCCAAUCAGUGCAAUAAACCUCCAGCUGCAUCUGUUAGUAAAGUGUACCUUUUCGGACAAGAUUCCAGCAUUCUACCCUUCUUGUACGGUCGCGAAAAAAGACAGGCCUCUAAUGAGACGUCAGAAGACCCCAGCAGUGAGGCUACUAGUGAGUCAAGCGAGGAAUCAACCAAACUUGGGAAACACUGGCAAUUUGUGCUGAAAUCCGCUCGUUUGGAACCAGGCGAUGUAUCGUAUAAUAACGAUUAUUUGGUUAAGUCUCCGGAUUAUGAAAUUCAAAACAUGGACAUGAAUCCAAGUGAUCGAGAGGAAUAUUCGGACUAUCUCAAAAAUGUGGUGCUAAGAAUGAGAAAGCCAUGUCUACUAGGAGGAAAAAUAAUUUCAAGCAACAUUAAACUGUUCAACAGGACAAUGCAUAUUUGCUUGCUUUUGUUCUCUUAUUUCCUGUUAACAAUUAUUUAAUAAAGACGUAGUGUAAUUGUUUUUCUAAACCUUUAACUUUAUUGAAACUGUUUGAUUUCCUUAAUUUUUUUAAUCACCUCUUCCUGGUAGAAAUUCAUGAACGCAAAAGUAAGAAAGCUUCCUUGCGUCAUACUAAUACACUCGUCGUGGCUUUUAAAAAAAGUUUCAACAUUCGGUUGCCACCAACAACUAAAUAAAUAAAAAUUUGUCAUUUUCCCUCAUUAACAAUGAAUCUCUGGUACACUUUGUUGCCACUAUUUUUGCAACAAGUCGUUGCGGAAGACCAGAUCUACAAUCGCGUUGUUCUAAUCGUUGACGAAGGAAUCAGUGAUCCAAUUGAGCGAUUCAUAGGAACAGGAAAUGUGUUAAAUGAGAGAUGGCUUCUGGCACUGGACCAAAUCAUCAAUCCUCAAGCAGACUUGGUGGUAACUACAGGACAAGAAGUUUCCACUGACAUUGCCAAAAAUAAGAACAAGUACCGUGUGAUAGACGUGUGGAACCAAAUAGACGAGGCCAAACCUGAACAAGCUCUGACUUUAUUAGAAACCUUGGUUGAUAUAAAAUUUAAUGAUUUAUCGAUUGGUGGGACCAUGUUUUACCAUUUCACUCCUAAAGCUCAGCUCUCCAACUGUGAACUAGUGACUUGGAAUUUAGACUUGAGAAAAAAGAAAUGGAAACAAAACCGAAUCCCUGUCAAUCUUGUAGAUAAUCCAACCACUUGUAAAACCGACACCGACCAACAAUCUUGUGUCAGUGCUUUGAAUACGAAAAAUUUAUUAAAUUCGUGUGCCGAUCUGGGGGCCCCUCUCGUAUGUAAUGUAUCCUUGGAAGGAAUAAAUCUUGCGGAAGAAGCCAAUCAGUGCAAUAAACCUCCAGCUGCAUCUGUUAGUAAAGUGUAUAUUUUCGGACAAGAUUCCAGCAUUCUACCCUUCUUGUACGGUCGCGAAAAAAGACAGGCCUCUAAUGAGACGUCAGAAGACCCCAGCAGUGAGGCUACUAGUGAGUCAAGCGAGGAAUCAACCAAACUUGGGAAACACUGGCAAUUUGUGCUGAAAUCCGCUCGUUUGGAACCAGGCGAUGUAUCGUAUAAUAACGAUUAUUUGGUUAAGUCUCCGGAUUAUGAAAUUCAAAACAUGGACAUGAAUCCAAGUGAUCGAGAGGAAUAUUCGGACUAUCUCAAAAAUGUGGUGCUAAGAAUGAGAAAGCCAUGUCUACUAGGAGGAAAAAUAAUUUCAAGCAACAUUAAACUGUUCAACAGGACAAUGCAUAUUUGCUUGCUUUUGUUCUCUUAUUUCCUGUUAACAAUUAUUUAAUAAAGACGUAGUGUAAUUGUUUUUCUAAA